rnacentral:snRNA from 1 species
GUUGCUUUGCAACAUUUGGUCAAUUUGAAACGAUACAGAGAAGAUUAGCAUGGCCCCUGCACUAAGGAUGACACGCUUUUCAAAGAGUGCUAAAAGUUUUUU